UACCAAACAGUGAGACGGUUUAAGCGGAAGCACCUUACAGCCAUCGACUGCCAACAUUUGGCUCGGAGUCACUUGGCUGUGACCCAGCCCUUCUGUCAAAGAUGGACCAACAGAGACCCGAACCAUGGUCUCUAUCCUAGACCCAGAACAAAAAGAGGGACUAGGGGUCAAGGAUGUCAAGGGUACAACACUGAGUUCUUCGCAGCCGCCCGGCAGCGGCGCAUCAAUGACAUGGCCAAAAGCAGUUCUGUGGGCCAGGACACCUCUAAGGACUCGGAGGGGGACAUGAUCUUUGCUGCAGAGAGCAACUGCGCCCUGCCUCAGGAGGGUGAUGGAGAAGCAAGACUGGGCGCGGCAGGGUCCACUCUGCCUGCAAGGAAGCGGUCUCGGUCCUUUGAGGACGACAGGAAUCAAGCUAUAGGGACCCGUCAGUGGGAUGGGGUUUCUAGAAAGACUCCACGGCAUCGCUGGUCCCCGUCGGGCGGAAGACCCAGGGAAGCCAGGCAAGAAACCGAGGACUCUCUGUCAUGGCGCUCCGCAGAGUCCGGAGAAGCCAGCCAGGAAGUGGAGGACGUUGGGCCCGAUCCCAUUCCUGACUCUUACUAUGGGCUUCUGGGGACCUCGCCCGGCCAGGAAGCCCAGAGCCACAUUUGGAGCCUGCCCAGUGAGGUCCUCCGGCACAUCUUCGCCUUCCUCCCCGUGGAGGACCUCUACUGGAACGUGAGCCUGGUGUGUCACCUUUGGAGAGAUAUCAUCAGUGACCCGCUGUUCAUUCCUUGGAAAAAGCUGUAUCAUCGCUACCUGAUGAAUGAGGAGCAAGCUGUGAGCAAAGUGGACGGCAUCCUGCUGAGCUACGGGAUAGAGAAGGAGUCCGACUUGUGUGUGCUGAACCUCAUUCGCUAUGCAGCCACCAGUAAAUGCUCCCCCAGUGUGGACCCUGGACGGGCCUUGUGGAGUCUGAGGGAUCACCUCCUCCUUCCUGAGGCAGAGGCCUGCGUGCGUCAGCACCUCCCAGAUCUCUACGUGGCUGCCACGGGUGUCAACGUGUGGGCUCUGGUGGCGGCCAUCGUCCUCCUGUCCAGCAGCGUGAACGACAUCCGGCAGCUGCUCUUCUGCCUCCGGAGACCCAGCUCCACCGUGACGGUGCCGGACAUCACGGAGACGCUGUACUGCCUCGCCGUGCUCCUCUACGCCAUGAGGGAGAAGGGGAUCAACAUCAGCAACCGGAUUCACUACAACAUUUUCUAUUGCCUGUAUCUUCAGGAGAAUUCCUGUCCUCAGGCCCGAGAAGUUAAAGAGGAACCAUCGGUUUGGCCAGGCAAGAAAACCAUCCAGCUUACACAUGAACAACAGCUGAUUCUGAGCCACAAGAUGGAACCUCUCCAGGUGGUAAAGAUCAUGGCGUUUGCAGGCACUGGGAAGACCUCUACGCUGGUCAAGUAUGCUGAAAAGUGGUCCCAGAGCAGGUUUCUGUACGUGACGUUCAACAAGAGCAUCGCAAAGCAGGCUGAGCUAGUCUUUCCCGGCAAUGUCAUCUGCAAGACCUUUCAUUCCAUGGCCUAUGGGCACGUCGGGCGGAAGUACCAAUUAAAGAAGAAAUUGAAUCUCUUCAAGUUGACCCCCUUCAUGGUCAAUUCUGUCCUUGCUGAAGGGAAAGGCGGGUUCAUACGGGCCAAGCUCGUAUGUAAGACCUUAGAGAACUUCUUUGCCUCGGCCGACGAAGAGCUCACCAUCGAUCACGUGCCGAUCUGGUGUAAGAACAGCCGGGGACAGAGGGUCAUGGUUGAACAGAGCGAAAAGCUGAACGGUGUCCUUGAAGCCAGCCGACUCUGGGACAACAUGCGGAAGUUGGGGGAAUGCAAAGAAGAGGCUUACCAAAUGACUCACGAUGGCUACUUGAAACUCUGGCAGCUGAGCAAGCCUCUGCUUGCCUCUUUUGACGCCAUCUUUGUGGACGAGGCCCAGGACUGUACCCCAGCUAUCAUGAACAUAGUUCUGUCUCAGCCAUGUGGGAAAAUCUUUGUAGGGGACCCACAUCAGCAGAUCUAUACCUUCCGUGGUGCAGUCAAUGCUCUGUUUACAGUCCCUCACACGCACGUCUUCUAUCUCACACAGAGUUUCCGAUUUGGCGUGGAAAUAGCAUACGUGGGAGCUACCAUCUUGGAUGUCUGCAAGAGAGUGAGGAGAAAGACUUUGGUUGGAGGAAACCAUCAGAGUGGCAUUAGAGGUGAUGCCAAGGGCCAGGUAGCCCUGUUGUCCCGGACCAAUGCCAACGUGUUUGAUGAGGCUGUGCGGGUGACGGAAGGGGAAGUCCCAGCGAGGAUCCAUCUGAUUGGGGGGAUUAAAUCAUUUGGAUUGGACAGAAUCAUUGAUAUCUGGAUCCUUCUUCAGCCGGAGGAAGAACGGAAGAAACAGAACCUCGUUAUUAAGGACAGGUUCAUUAGAAGAUGGGUGCACAAAGAAGGCUUUAGUGGUUUCAAGAGGUACGUGACGGCGGCCGAGGACAAGGAGCUGGAGGCCAAGAUUGCAGUCGUGGAGAAAUACAACACCAGGAUCCCAGACCUCGUGCGAAGGAUCGAGAGGUGCCACAUAGAAGACCUGGACUUCGCAGAGUACAUUUUGGGCACUGUGCACAAGGCCAAAGGCUUGGAGUUUGACACCGUGCACGUGUUGGAUGAUUUUGUGAAAGUGCCAUGUGCCAGGCACAACCUCUCGCAGCUGCCCCACUUCCGAGUCGAGUCGUUUUCUGAGGAUGAAUGGAAUUUACUGUAUGUUGCAGUAACCCGUGCCAAGAAGCGUCUCAUCAUGACCAAAUCCUUGGAGAACAUUCUGACUUUAGCUGGGGAGUACUUCCUGCAGGCGGAGCUGACCAGCGCCGUUUUGAAGGCCGGAGUGGUGCGCUGCUGCGUGGGGCAGUGCAACAACGCCAUCCCCGUGGACACCGUGCUCACCAUGAGGAAGCUCCCCAUCACUUACAGCAACAGGAAGGAAAACAAGGGAGGCUACCUCUGCCACUCGUGUGCGGAGCAGCGCAUCGGGCCCUUGGCCUUCUUGACGGCCUCCCCCGAGCAGGUGCACGCCAUGGAACGCACUGUCGAGAACAUAGUGCUUCCCAGACACGAAGCCCUGCUCUUCCUGGUCUUCUGACAGCCGAGAGGCGCUUUCUCCCCAGUACCGAAUGCCUUGUGUGGACUCGAGUUGCCUGAAGAAAGCCCGUGUGGGGUAGGGUCGUCACUCACCUGGGACUCUGAAUUCACGCACAGAGCAUCUUCAGAGGAGGACGAAGCCGAAGAGAGUUGGACGUGCCGUUUCUCCAUUCCCUCACGUCAGGGACGCAGAUGGCAGGUGGGGGAGUUGGCGCGGCAUUGCCCAAAGAGCUCUGCACAUCUAGGCCCUGAGCCCACCAAGCGGCGUCCAGGAGCGGGCCUCGUAGCUCCCGUUGUCACAGCCUCCCCUUAGCCUCCUCCGGCAGCCUGGUGGAGCUCAGAGUGCUGGCCGGUGAGUAGAGCAGCGCUGUCGGGGGGGCCAGGGGUGCUCUCAAGGGCGAAGGCCGAGUUCAGGUCUGCGCAUCGAGGAGCGAGGAGCGUUCACACGAUGGGAAUCCGAAGGUGGACGGGGCAGACUUUAAUGGUGGUGGGAUGGGGCUGUUUCAUCCGCUCAGCCAGGAUUCCUGGCCUCGCCUUACGUAAUGCUCAGUGGAUGACCCAGAGUAAGAGAGCGAGUGGAAGGAAUGUGAAUCUGGGUUGGUCACAG